AUUGAACGCUGGCGGCAUGCUUUACACAUGCAAGUCGGACGAGUGGCGAACGGGUGAGUAACAUAUCGGAACGUACCGAGUAAUGGGGGAUAACUAAUCGAAAGAUUCGCUAAUACCGCACAUUUUUCGAUCGGCCUAUGUUUGAUUAGCUAGUUGGUGGGGUAAAGGCCUACCAAGGCGACGAUCAGUACCGGGUCUGAGAGGAUGAUCCGCCGCACUGGGACUGAGACACGGCCCAGACGCCUACGGGAGGCAGCAGUGGAGAAUGUUGGGCAAUGGGAGCAAGCCUGAUCCAGCCAUGCAGCGUGUCUGAAGAAGGCCUUCGGGUUGUAAAGGACUUUUGUCAGGGAAGCGGUACCUGAAGAAUAAGCACCGGCUAACUACGUGCCAGCAGCCGCGGUAAUUC
rnacentral:rRNA from 1 species